rnacentral:rRNA from 1 species
AGCAGCCGCGGUAAUUCCAGCUCCAAUAGCGUAUAUUAAAGUUGUUGCAGUUAAAAAGCUCGUAGUUGAAUUUCGGGGUUAGUAGGUUGGUCGUGCCUAUGGUAUGUACUGGCUUUACUGAUUCCUCCUUCUUGAAGAACUGUAAUGUCAUUAAUUUGGUGUUGCAGGGAAACAGGACUGUUACUUUGAAAAAAUUAGAGUGUUUAAAGCAGGCUAACGCUUGAAUACAUUAGCAUGGAAUAAUGAAAUAGGACGUUUGAUCCUAUUUUGUUGGUUUCUAGGAUUGACGUAAUGAUUAAUAGGGAUAGUUGGGGGCAUUAGUAUUCAAUUGUCAGAGGUGAAAUUCUUGGAUUUAUUGAAGACUAACUACUGCGAAAGCAUUUGCCAAGGAUGUUUUCAUUAAUCAAGAACGAAAGUUAGGGGAUCGAAGACGAUCAGAUACCGUCGUAGUCUUAACCAUAAACUAUGCCGACUAGGGAUCGGAUGAUGUUAAUUUUUUAAUGACUCAUUCGGUGCCUUACG